AUCGUCUCCACCAGCAUGUCACAGGCACUGCUGCAUUCCAGUGGAUCACUGGGUCAUAUAGGUGUUGUAUAGGUGACAGACUGUAUUACCCUGCAAAGAGAUGCGAGCAUACAACUGUUCAUAAAGGUUGUCUUAUUGUAGUGGGUCCCACAGAGUCUGAUAUUAUGUGAUAAAACUAUAAUAAUUCAUGCAGAAGCCAGACUAUCUACAACAGCUAGCGAAGAAAUGGAAAAUGGAUACCACAAAAUGCUGCUGGAAAAUCCCAAAAUAAUUAAUGCAGAUGUCAACAGAAAGAAAAAUUCCCAGGGAGAGUCAUCGUAUCUGGAAAAAGGCACAUAAACAACUGGCAAACCCUUUCUACAAAGGAUAUGAGGGUACCUAUUUAGAACAUAAAAGAAGAGGGAACUGCCUGUUAUGUGUUCUGAAAUGAUCCCUUUUCAUUACAACUUCAGAAUUUUUUCUCUCUGGGGAUCUCUGACUUCAAACCAUGAAGAAAGGGAGAAACGACAUCAUACUAUUUCCAUUAAAAGCAGCCAUGCGUAACCUGUAUUUUUUCCUUUACUCUUUU